rnacentral:rRNA from 1 species
UACAGAGGUCUCAAGCGUUGUUCGGAUUCAUUGGGCGUAAAGGGUGCGUAGGUGGCGCUGUAAGUCAGGUGUGAAAUUUCGGAGCUUAACUCCGAAACUGCAUUUGAUACUGCGGUGCUUGAGGACUGGAGAGGAGACUGGAAUUUACGGUGUAGCAGUGAAAUGCGUAGAGAUCGUGAAGGAAGACCAGUGGCGAAGGCGGGUCUCUGGACAGUUCCUGACACUGAGGCACGAAGGCCAGGGGAGGCAAACGGG